ensembl:misc_RNA Y_RNA Y RNA
GGCUGGUAGUGAGUUAUCUCGUUCAUAGUUACAGAUCAACCUCCUUGUUUUACUCUUUCCCCUCUUCUCAAUACUGCACUUGGCUAGUCGUGA